AGUAGAUGUUAUCACUGAGAUCUGAGGCAGGAAGCUCCAUUGCUUAAAUGAAUGAUGUGGCCUCAGUCAAGGAGAAGUCGUCCCUGGCAACAGUCAAGAACCUUGGUGCCGACCAACAGCAUUCUAUAUACUCUAUUCAUCCCGUAGUUGACGGGUUACAGGACCGAAUGACGUUCUAUAUUGUAACAUGUUUCUGUUUAGGUCCUGGGAAAAGGUGAGAUGUCAGGACUCGAAA